ACGAACCGGUCGAACGUUAUUCGGAAUCAUUGGGCUUAAAGGGUGCGUAGGCGGUGCGGAAAGUUGGGUGUGAAAGCCCUCGGCUCAACCGAGGAAUUGCGCCCAAUACUGCCGUGCUAGAGGGAGACAGAGGUGAGCGGAACUGAUGGUGGAGCGGUGAAAUGCGUUGAUAUUAUCAGGAACACCAGUAGCGAAAGCGGCUCACUGGGUCUCUUCUGACGCUGAGGCACGAAAGCUAGGGUAGCGAACAGG
rnacentral:rRNA from 1 species